CUCUCCCUCUCCCUCCUCUUCUGU
rnacentral:miRNA from 1 species